rnacentral:rRNA from 1 species
AGCGAACGCUGGCGGCAGGCUUAACACAUGCAAGUCGAGCGGGCCCUUCGGGGUCAGCGGCGGACGGGUGAGUAACGCGUGGGAACGUGCCUUCUGGUCUGGAAUAACCCUGGGAAACUAGGGCUAAUACCGGAUACGCCCUUUUGGGGAAAGGUUUACUGCCGGAAGAUCGGCCCGCGUCUGAUUAGCUAGUUGGUGGGGUAACGGCCUACCAAGGCGACGAUCAGUAGCUGGUCUGAGAGGAUGAUCAGCCACACUGGGACUGAGACACGGCCCAGACUCCUACGGGAGGCAGCAGUGGGGAAUAUUGGACAAUGGGCGCAAGCCUGAUCCAGCCAUGCCGCGUGAGUGAUGAAGGCCUUAGGGUUGUGAAGCUCUUUUAUCCGGGACGAUAAUGACGGUACCGGAGGAAUAAGCCCCGGCUAACUUCGUG